CCAUAUUACGUUGAAACAUUGGUUCCCGUACGAUCAAUGAAGUUAAGCAACGUCGGACCUGGUCAGUACCUAGAUGGGUGGUCGCUUAGGAAUACCAAGUGCUGUAA
rnacentral:rRNA from 1 species